AUGGCUCUGAGAACCUGGCGAGUGCAAAGCAUCACACGAAGUCUGCUGUGCUGAGGGGGCAAUACCAAGGAUUGGAGAGAAACGUCUGCUGACAGCUGGAUUUGGCUUCUGCCUUCAGAUAGCCUCCUUCCUCUCCUGCCAUCCCUGCAGAGACCCUGUCUCAGAGGAGCUUCCCAGUGGUCUCACUCAGUUGUGUCUGGGAUGGGGCCAGUGCCAGACAGUGCAGAGAAGAGGGGCAAGAAAUAUGGCUGCAGAUGUUACCUCAUGCCCAGCGAGACAGUGAGGACAUGGAGUCUGCUGGAUUUCAGGAGGAAGGGUCUGCAGGAAUUCUGGAGGGGAAACUGCCAACCAGGACUCAACACUGACCCCCAGCUCCAGGGGGACAUGUUGCUUGGAGGACACAAAGAGGGGAGAGCAUGAGGAGCACCAGAGUAAGCAGCCAGCAGUUUAAUUUCAGUGUAGGUAAGUACAAGGUAAUGGAACAUGAAAGACCAAUUUAAACUACUUAUGUAACAGGACAGACCUAAAUUAAUUAUUUCUUGCUCAGGAAAACAUCAAGGUCUUUUUCAGGCUCCUUGAGCAAAAGCACUCACAAUAGCUAGCUAGUACUGAAAAGGUUGUAUGAUAAUGCCUUUCUGUGAAUCAGAAUUCUGUCUAUAUUUGAAAUGAUGUGCUCAGAUUUUGUCACUUUUCUAUUCAGAAAUAGAAGGUACCUAAAGAUAGAUGAUGCAAAUUAUUAGGAGACCUAGAAAGGUUUCACAAAGAAAAGAUUAGGAGCAUUAAUUUGGUAAGAGGGAUGUGAUAUAGGAAUGAAAAGAAGAAUGACAGGGAGAAGGCACAUGAGACCCUGUUAUUUAUCUUUUAUUAAAAUACCAGAAUGUGAAAGAAAAAGCUUAUGGCUUACAAUAUUGCAUGUGAAAUACUAACAAAGAAACACACUGUUUUACACAGUAUGCAACCUGUGGAAUUCAUUGUUCGAAAAUACUACUGAGGCCAAGAGCUUUGGAAGAUAUUACUCUCACAUUUUCCAUACAGGAGCAAUAAAAAUAUCAUCCACCCCUACA
rnacentral:lncRNA from 1 species